CAGAGUAUCUCCGUGAGCGCAGCACUCCACUGGCCUCUCUGACUGAUCUGACCUGCAGACGCUGGGACAAAUCCAUUUCAUUGGCCUCAUGCAGUCUCCAAAUCCAGAGCUCCAGAUGCAUGCAGGCAUCACGUGCAAGUCCGAUAAGCCACCAGGUGUGCCUUAGGAAGCCAGAACCGGCACAGCUCCUGCCAGGCCCGAGGCUGCCGUGGGGACAGGGUGGUGAGUGAUUCCUGGGCUCCAACAUCACCCACAGUGAAGUGUGAGGAGCACCGUACAUUUUCAAGAGCAGAGAAACCAAAACCACCCAUGGAAAGGCUCCAUUCUACAGGAAAGGUAUUGUGUUCGGGCCCUCGAGAGGGAACCCACAGUGGUCCCCACAACGCCAAGCCCACAGUGGGCCGCCGUCAGCUCCACACCGUGAGGAUUCAAUCCUAUUCUGAAAAAAAAAAAAAAAGGAUUUUGAUGUCUGUGGGAACUUGACUUUGCACAUCAUCCGACUCACCCUCCCAUCUGAAGCCAGAAUUCCCCCUCAGCAUCUCAAACGAAUAACUAUGCUCUCCACGUUAUGAAGAAGGGCAUUUCAUUUUUGUCUUCUCCUUUUGAACAGU
rnacentral:lncRNA from 1 species